CAAUAGCCCUUCAUUUUCCUCCCUCCAUCAUCUUGUGUGUCUCCAAUUUGUUCUCAUUUUCCUUUUCUCACCCUCUUCCUCCAUCCAUUCAGAUCUUCGCCAUAUCUUUCUUCGUCUUCGGCUUAUAGAUCAUGGUUCCUCACCAGAUCUCUGGAGGGAGAUCUCGUUUCGAUCUCUUAGCCUGCGUCUGGCGAGCGCUACUCUUCUUUUAGGGAAACCUUGCACGAUCUUCGGUUCUCUUGGUGACUGCAGUCGGAUCAUGCAAGGGAUUCAUGUUGUGAUGCGUGAAGAAGAAACCUAGAAAACCUAAUCUUUUCUGUCCGCGACUGUUUAACUCUUGGUGAUGUCUCGUCGAGAUCCCUCACCAGUGCAUCAGCAGGCACUUGUGUUCAUCUCACGGGUAGUCGUGCAUGGAGUGGAUCUGUCCUCCUUGUUUCUUGAUAUUAGUUCUUCUCCUUGUUCUUGGUCAUUUUAGGGUGUUUCCUCCCUUCGAUCCACACCCUGAAGGGGCCACAGCCAAGAUGCGUGGAUCGAUCCAAGCAGUUGGUCUUUGUGGGUGUGGCACCAUCAAGAUUCACAUGGAUUCGGCUGCCGUUGUACAUGAGAAUCUUGAUGAUGCUGCAUCGACAAAUACAUGACUAAUCCCUCGAGAUGUACCAUCAGAUGUUGAGGUGAUCGAUCGCUUCCAAAUUUUGCUGCAUGUACCGAAGAUAAAGUCAGGUCUUGUCCGAGGGAAGGCCUCAGAUUCCUUCCUGAUGAUUAUUCCCACCAUUCUCUUCUCUCUUCACUUUUAUUGUAUGUUGUCUUCUCUUUUAACACAGAUUUGCAGUAAAUGUUUCUGCUUCGGUUUCUUUUCAAGAGGUUUUGCAGCAGAAGGGGUAACAAAAGACCUCUGAAGCGUAUGGUAUUCUGAAGCUGCAAACAUAUGAUCCGUGAGAAGGAUACCGAGAGAAAUUCUUAUUUAAGGGGACAAAUAGAUCACAGAACUCAAAAGAAGCAUGAGGAAUGAGCAAGGAUUCACCAUGACCAUUGAAUGAAGGUGGUCAAAUGUAUAUCUGCCUGCAGUCACCAUGAAUCUCUUGGUCUUUGAUGUUAUUCGUUGUCGUAUGUGUUAGAUCACUGAGAUGUGGUGAUCAAUCAUUUCGAUGACACUUGAAAUCGUGAGAGGAGAAAAUUGAAACCAAAAUGGCCGUGUAUCAUGGUGGACACAAAGGUACUGUUUGCUAUUAAUAUGUAA